rnacentral:rRNA from 1 species
AGAGUUUGAUCAUGGCUCAGAUUGAACGCUGGCGGCAGGCCUAACACAUGCAAGUCGAGCGGUAGCACAGGAGAGCUUGCUCUCUGGGUGACGAGCGGCGGACGGGUGGGUAAUGUCUGGAAAACUGCCUGAUGGAGGGGGAUAACUACUGGAAACGGUAGCUAAUACCGCAUAACGUCUUCGGACCAAAGUGGGGGACCUUCGGGCCUCACGCCAUCAGAUGUGCCCAGAUGGGAUUAGCUAGUAGGUGGGGUAAUGGCUCACCUAGGCGACGAUCCCUAGCUGGUCUGAGAGGAUGACCAGCCACACUGGAACUGAGACACGGUCCAGACUCCUACGGGAGGCAGCAGUGGGGAAUAUUGCACAAUGGGCGCAAGCCUGAUGCAGCCAUGCCGCGUGUGUGAAGAAGGCCUUCGGGAUGUAAAGCACUUUCAGCGAGGAGGAAGGGCAGUGUGUUAAUAGCACAUUGCAUUGACGUUACUCGCAGAAGAAGCACCGGCUAACUCCGUGCCAGCAGCCGCGGUAAUACGGAGGGUGCAAGCGUUAAUCGGAAUUACUGGGCGUAAAGCGCACGCAGGCGGUUUGUUAAGUCAGAUGUGAAAUCCCCGCGCUUAACGUGGGAACUGCAUUUGAAACUGGCAAGCUAGAGUCUUGUAGAGGGGGGUAGAAUUCCAGGUGUAGCGGUGAAAUGCGUAGAGAUCUGGAGGAAUACCGGUGGCGAAGGCGGCCCCCUGGACAAAGACUGACGCUCAGGUGCGAAAGCGUGGGGAGCAAACAGGAUUAGAUACCCCGGUAGUCC